UCGGGGGAAAGAUUUAUCGCCGAAAGAUCGGCCCGCGUCUGAUUAGCUAGUUGGUGAGGUAAAGGCUCACCAAGGCGACGAUCAGUAGCUGGUCUGAGAGGAUGAUCAGCCACAUUGGGACUGAGACACGGCCCAAACUCCUACGGGAGGCAGCAGUGGGGAAUAUUGGACAAUGGGCGCAAGCCUGAUCCAGCCAUGCCGCGUGAGUGAUGAAGGCCUUAGGGUUGUAAAGCUCUUUUGUCCGGGAAGAUAAUGACUGUACCGGAAGAAU
rnacentral:rRNA from 1 species